rnacentral:rRNA from 1 species
GUGCCAGCAGCCGCGGUAAUACGAAGGGGGCGAGCGUUGUCCGGAUUUAUUGGGCGUAAAGAGCUCGUAGGCGGUUCAACAAGUCGGUCGUGAAAGUUUAGGGCUUAACCCUGAAAUGUCGAUCGAUACUGUUGUGACUAGGAUAUGGUAGAGGUGAGUGGAAUUCCGAGUGUAGCGGUGAAAUGCGUAGAUAUUCGGAGGAACACCAAUAGCGAAGGCAGCUCACUGGGCCACUAUCGACGCUGAGGAGCGAAAGCUAGGGGAGCAAACAGGAUUAGAUA